rnacentral:tRNA from 2 species
CAGGGAAUAGUUUAAGAAGAAUUU